rnacentral:rRNA from 1 species
GUCUGACACAUGCAAGUCGAACGGUAAGGGANCAAUCCCCNACAAGUGGNGAACGGCUNACUAACACGUANGAACCUACCCUCGGGUUCGGGAUAACAGAUCGAAAGAACUGCUAAUACCGAAUACAUCGGCAACGAGGAAAGAUUUAUCACCCGAGGAGGGGCCUGCGGCGUAUUAGCUUGUUGGUGGGGUAAUGGCCUACCAAGGCGAUGAUGCGUAGCUGGUCUGAGAGGACGAUCAGCCAGACUGGGACUGAGACACGGCCCAGACUCCUACGGGAGGCAGCAGUUCAGAAUCUUGCACAAUGGACGAAAGUCUGAUGCAGCCAUGCCGCGUGUGCGAAGAAGGCCUUCGGGUCGUAAAGCACUGUCAGAGGGAAAGAUCAUGACGGUACCCUCAAAGGAAGCCACGGCUAAUUACGUGCCAGCAGCCGCGGUAAUACGUAAGUGGCGAGCGUUAUCCGGAAUUACUGGGCGUAAAGCGUUCGUAGGCGGUGCAGUAAGUUGGGUUUGAAAGCCCGGGGCUCAACUCCGGAUCCGGAUCCAAAACUAUUGUACUUGA